ensembl:lncRNA novel transcript
UAGAAAAUAAACGAGACGAAACAGCAGUCUAGAAGUAGGCACCAAAUCCAAGUUUUCAUGUGCGAUCCAGGUAUUAGGGUCCAUCCAGGAACAGCCUGCUGGAAUUGCUAGCCUGGCAUUCACAGAAGAUUGUGCCACCCACGAGGAAUGUGUUUUCAGCCCUGAAAUUCCUGGGAGUGAGAGGUGAAGCCAGCUGGAUUUCUGGGUUGGGUGGGGACUUGGAGAACUUUUCUUACAAGAGGAUUGUAAAAUGCACCAAUCAGCACUCUGUAGCUAGCUAGAGUUUUGUAAAAUGCACCAAUCAGUGCUCUGUAAAAACGCACCUAUCAGCACUCUGUAGGUAGCUAGAGGUUUGUAAAAUGGACCAAUCAGCACUCUGUAAAAUGGACCAAUCAGCAGGGCAUGGGCAGGGACAAAUAAGCCAAUAAAAACUGGCCACCCCAGCCUGCAGGGGCAGCCUGCUUGGGUCCUUUUCCACAUUGUGGAAGCUUUGUUCUUUUGCUCUUCACAAUAAAUCUUGCUGCUGCUCAGUCU